rnacentral:tRNA from 1 species
GACGAGGUGGCCGAGUGGUUAAGGCGAUGGACUGCUAAUCCAUUGUGCUGUGCUCUGCACGCGUGGGUUCGAAUCCCAUCCUCGUCG